AAAAAGAAAAUGCUCUUUCUUUUCUGGAUCUCCUAGUUCCUGUCAGACCAUCCGUAAGAAGAGAAGUCUAACCCUCAGGCAGUGAGGGAUGACAGAGCAUGGCUGCUGCAUACUGGCAGAGACAGAGAGUUGCUUCAGCACCCAGGCCUCACUCAGCAGCUGCUGCCACACAGCACCAGUCAAAGUUAUUCCAGCAUGAAGCCCUGAGGGAGUAAUGUAUUGCUGCUUCUGUGGAUUAUAGGCAACCACUUCCCCAAAGCCAGAGAUAAUCUGUGUAUUAGAGUAAUUGCACCCAUGUGAACACUCUCCCAAAGACUUCUCCUAAGGCCGUCCCCAGCCAGCAGGUGUGUACACAGGCACUUUGCUCACCGUGAGUAAGCAUCUCUAGUGGGUUCAGCCAGGAAAGCCUUUUGUGCCUCCUAUCAAAUAGCAGAGAGGUUUUGGCAGCAUUACAGAGCAUCAGAAUUAAACAUCAUCCCCAAGAACAAAAAAGCUGAUGGUCCUACCAUCAGCUGCUGCAGGAGGACUAAGUGAUGUGUCUAAGUCCAAAGGGAUACUUAUAACCCAGGAAGACUAAUAAUCCACGAAGUUAAUUUUUGCUAUUACUUGAAAGUAAAGUGCCCUUCUUCUGUUCAUAAGACAGACAAAAUUGAGAAGAGAUGCCCAGAGUGGUUUGUGCUGUUUUUCCUUUCAUUAGUUGUGUUUCAGACGAUCUGGGAAAUUACAUUGUUGGGCACAUUUGCUGGAAAUCUAGAAUUGGAGAUGACAGACUCAUCUCCCUCUCUAAAGGAUUAGAACAAUCUAAUUGUUUAAUAGGUAAGCAACAUGUUUAAUGUUUAAACUGUAAAUCCCUUCUUUAGCUCACUCUGCACCAGGACACUUAGUCAUUGAAUGAUUUCUGAGGCUGUGUCCCCAUGCUGGCUGUCAAAAGUAGCCACUGUUCUCAAGCUUAGCACCUGUCACUGCCAUGAAUACAGAAAUACUAAUUUAAAUGUUUAACUUCGGGGGCAAAAAAAGUUAAUGACUAAAAGAAUGCCUCCAGUUUCAGCCUUCCAAUGGCAUCAACAAUGAUGAGAAUUUUCCUUUGAAAAUAGAGCCUGAUAGGGUAUGGUAGAUAUGAUAAGCAUAUUUUUUAAUGCUUUCCCUUGAGUUCGACUGUUGGAGUUGGUGACUGAAGUGAUUCCUUUAGCGCUGUAGCCCAUAUUUACAACAGUAGUAACCUUUGAAGCAUAGAGGUUCAGCCUCUGUUUGCAAAGGGCAAGGUGAAGACUGACCCAAUCCUGCUAAGCUACACUUCCUACUUGCUCUUUGCUAGUAGAUUAAUAGCACAAGCAUGUUGAACAAGUGUUGUUUUCAAAAUGCUGAGGGGUUGUCAAUUUUUUUCCCUGAAGAAAAUUUCAUUUAAAAAUAAAUGUUAUAAUGUUUCUCAAGUAGUUCUGAAGCAAGUAAAAAUGUGUCCAAGCCAUGCUCCCUAUCACCUUAUUCUCUGUUAAGCACAGCCUAAAGUCUGUUUUCCCUCUCACCAACAUG